AUUGAACGCUGGCGGCAGGCCUAACACAUGCAAGUCGAACGAGUGGCGGACGGGUGAGUAAUGUCUGGGAAACUGCCUGAUGGAGGGGGAUAACUACUGGAAACGGUAGCUAAUACCGCCUACCAUCGGAUGUGCCCAGAUGGGAUUGGCUAGUAGGUGGGGUAACGGCUCACCUAGGCGACGCUCCCUAGCUGGGCUGAGAGGAUGACCAGCCACACUGUAACUGACACAAGGUCCAGACUCCUACGGGAGGCAGCAGUAGGGAUAAUUGCAAAAUGGGGGCAAGCCUGAUGCAGCCAUGCAGCGUGUAUGAAGAAGGCCUUCGGGUUGUAAAGUACUUUCAGCGGGGAGGCGUUACCCGCAGAAGAAGCACCGGCUAACUCCGGGCCAGCAGCCGCGGUAAUAC
rnacentral:rRNA from 1 species